rnacentral:rRNA from 1 species
AGUGAACGCUGGCGGUAGGCCUAACACAUGCAAGUCGAACGGCAGCACAGUAAGAGCUUGCUCUUACGGGUGGAGAGUGGCGGACGGGUGAGGAAUACAUCGGAAUCUACUUUUUCGUGGGGGAUAACGUAGGGAAACUUACGCUAAUACCGCAUACGACCUACGGGUGAAAUCAGGGGAUCUUCGUACCUUGAGCGAUGGAAUGAGCCGAUGUCGGAUUAGCUAGUUGGCGGGGUAAAGGCCCACCAAGGCGACGAUCCGUAGCUGGUCUGAGAGGAUGAGCAGCCACACUGGACCUGAGACACGGUACAGACUCCAACGGUAGGCAGCGGUGCGGAAUAUUGGACAAUGGGCGCAAGCCUGAUCCAGUCAUACCGCGUGGGUGAAGAAGGCCUUCGGGUUGUAAAGCCCUUUUGUUGGGAAAGAAAAGCAGCAGGUGAAUACCCCGCUGUUCUGACGGUACCCAAAGAAUAAGCACCGGCUAACUUCGUG